rnacentral:rRNA from 1 species
ACACCGGCAGCUCUAGUGGUAACAAUUUUUAUUGGGCCUAAAGCGUCCGUAGCCGGUUUAAUAAGUCUCUGGUGAAAUCCUGCAGCUUAACUGUGGGAAUUGCUGGAGAUACUAUUAGACUUGAGAUCGGGAGAGGUUAGAGGUACUCCCAGGGUAGAGGUGAAAUUCUGUAAUCCUGGGAGGACCGCCUGUUGCGAAGGCGUCUAACUGGAACGAUUCUGACGGUGAGGGACGAAAGUUAGGGGCGCGAACCGGAUUAGAUACCCGGGUAGUCCUAACUGUAAACGAUGCGGACUUGGUGUUGGGGUGGCUUUGAGCUGCUCCAGUGCCGAAGGGAAGCUGUUAAGUCCGCCGCCUGGGAAGUACGGUCGCAAGACUGAAACUUAAAUGAAUUGGCGGGG